rnacentral:rRNA from 1 species
GAUGAACGCUGGCGGCGUGCCUAAUACAUGCAAGUCGAGCGAACAGACGAGGAGCUUGCUCCUCUGACGUUAGCGGCGGACGGGUGAGUAACACGUGGAUAACCUACCUAUAAGACUGGGAUAACUUCGGGAAACCGGAGCUAAUGCCGGAUAAUAUAUUGAACCGCAUGGUUCAAUAGUGAAAGACGGUUUUGCUGUCACUUAUAGAUGGAUCCGCGCCGCAUUAGCUAGUUGGUAAGGUAACGGCUUACCAAGGCAACGAUGCGUAGCCGACCUGAGAGGGUGAUCGGCCACACUGGAACUGAGCCACGGUCCAGACUCCUACGGGAGGCAGCAGUAGGGAAUCUUCCGCAAUGGGCGAAAGCCUGACGGAGCAACGCCGCGUGAGUGAUGAAGGUCUUCGGAUCGUAAAACUCUGUUAUUAGGGAAGAACAAAUGUGUAAGUAACUAUGCACGUCUUGACGGUACCUAAUCAGAAAGCCACGGCUAACUACGUG